rnacentral:lncRNA from 1 species
CAUAUUUGUUAUUGUUUUGUAUCUAAUUUUAAAUGAAAUAGAAACUCUGUGCGCACUUACUUAGAGGAAAGCCCAGUGAACGCAGUAGCACUUUCCAAUUAAGGAGACAAAGAAGAAAUUGGCUUAAGAAAGUCUCUGUCCGCUACCCUUUUGCUGUUUACCGUUGAUGACAAAUUUACAAACUGUAGUUGCAAACUUUCUCAGCAAAUUUCGUCUUCUUUUCUCUCCUGUAGAGUAUCUUUAAGUUUUCAUUUUAUAAUCCUUUGCAGAAACACCUUAUAUUAUGAUCUCCUAGAAAAAGCCACGGGGAAAGAACAGCAGUUUCAACUCGCUCCUCCCCGGCAGUCCAAUUUUUCAUGAUCUUGAGCAAUUCUCCUGAGCGCGCUCUGUUUUGGAACUCCAUUUCCCGGGAGUCUUUGCCGGUCGGGAGUUUGUUGCUUGGCAACGGGCGUAAACCAGCCAUGGAGCCGAAGGGGGAGAAGGAAGGAAAAGAUGGGAAAGACCAGAAUGCACCAUCAGAAGCACCAGACAAUUCAGGGGAACAGAAGGAAGGAGCAAAGAACAUUGCAGAUGAAAAGAAAGUAUCUCCUGAACAUGAAGAAGAAGAAAAAACAGCAGAAGAUGAUGAGGGUGAGGGGAGUUUUGGCAGUGAGGGUGAGUAUUUCUAGCAAUUUCAGGCUUAAGUUUAAAUAAAUAUUUCUCUUGUUCAUUGUUUGAUCGGUUA